GACCUCAUUGUCUAAUGGUAGGACACCACAACUUCACUGUGGGAGUAUCGGUUCGAUCCCGGUUGGGGUUA